UGCCGUGAUGAGAUCACUCCAUAGGAAGUGCCGUCAGAAGCGAGAACUGACGAGAACUGUCGCAGCUGACU